rnacentral:lncRNA from 7 species
GCAAGCUGGCUGAAUUGCGGUUGCUCUGGAAACCAUCCUUUGAAUCUCUUUACUCUAGACUAAUUAAAAUAAUUGCAACUGCAUGUAUUUGAUGACGAGGUGUGGAAGACCACCCAAUUUGGAUGGAUUUGUACCUACACAGCACCAUCAUAGAUUGGUGGAGGAGACUCAUCCAGCUGCAUAACUCCACCCAAUGGCAAACCCAAAUCAGCAGCCAGGGUUGUUUACCAAGACAUUUCUUCCCUGAAGACAAAGAGUAGAACCAGGAUCACAGGAAGAUUUGGAUUGGAAGACACCAUGGAGGCUGUCUGGGCCAACAAUGUGCUGAAAGCAGAGCUAACAUCAGCCAUCCCCUGAAGCAUCAGCAGCUGACCACCUCUGAAGACACACUGAAGAGCUGGGUGGCCAGUGCUUUGAGAAAUCACAGAGAAUUCAUGUAACAACUUUUAAUAUUUCCAGCAGUAUAUUUUGCCUGCUUUGAUCUUAUUAUUUUAAUUGAGAGCUUAAUAUGUGAACAUCUAAGUAAACCCUGGUGGGAGACAGUAAGUAUUUUUUCUGUGAUUGCUGAAAGCAUCUUACUCAAUACUUCCACUGUUUUGGCUACUUCCUCUGCUUUUCCUACUGGUUUUGAUUCUGUUCAGUGUAGAAAAGGCUGAUGUAAAAAUCUCUAUUCUUGUCAGGCAAAAAUUUCAUUUUUCUUCAAUUCUUUCUCUGAUUUGCUGCAGUGAUCUCAUCAAUCAGGGCACUGACCAUGGGAUCUUAUUUAUGUUCUUUCACUGUGAAUAUGGUGCCAUUUAAAUUCUAUUUGUAGGGGUUAUUUUGGAACAUGUUUACAAAUUUAUUGGUUACGGCAUAAAAGAGUGCUUUUGUACUUUUUUUUUAAUUUAUAUUCAGUGAAAUCUAUAUUACACAUUGCCAUCUUGAUGAAUGGUUUAGGAAAUCCAUGUGUAUGCAUAUUUCUGUCAGUUGUGUGACUGCUUAUUACAAAAAGAAUUAAAUCACAGCUAAAUUACCACCUGUAUUUACUGGCAGCAUGUUAUAAGAAUUAUUGCUCAGCUUCACUGUCCAGGUAGCCUUCCUACAAACUAGUAACCAAGUGUAUCUGUCCUUUUAAUGUAGUUGCAAUUUAUUUUCUGAAUUCAUUAAUCAAAAAAGCCUUGCUCAACAGUAUAAAAAUAAAAUAAGACAAAAUAAAAUAAAAUAUAU